GUUGCUCCAACAGCCAAGUUAUGAUCUUGGAAGAGUCUGCUGUCCAGUGAUUUCCUGUUGGCAUUCAAGGUUGGCAUAGAACGCUACCUGGCACAUGGGUUACUCGCCAUCUAAAACCAAAAAUCAAGACAUAUUUAUAUCUUAUUGCUAUGUCCAAAGGUUGAUUUUUCUUCACUUGGUGAGCAUCCUCUGUUUGACAUUUCCACAUGUAAUAAGUUAAGAACUGAUUUGAUAAGAUAUCCCAAAAAUGCAAUUGUAUAAAUCCAAAUAAAAAAUUUAAAUAAUCAUCCCAA